UACGUAGGGUGCAAGCGUUAAUCGGAAUUACUGGGCGUAAAGCGUGCGCAGGCGGUUUUGUAAGUCUGUCGUGAAAUCCCGGGCUCAACCUGGGAAUUGCGAUGGAGACUGCAAGGCUAGAAUCUGGCAGAGGGGGGUAGAAUUCCACGUGUAGCAGUGAAAUGCGUAGAGAUGCGGAGGAACACCGAUGGCGAAGGCAGCCCCCUGGGCUAGCACUGACGCUCAGGCACGAAAGCGUGGGGAGCAAACAGG
rnacentral:rRNA from 1 species